GUUAAAUAAAUAAAUCCCAGUUUGCAUUAUUCACUUUAACUCUUGGGGCUUUUGAGAAUCUUCUUUUAUGUACAAAUCUGACGUUGCUUCCAAACUCUUGGCCUGUAGUGUACAUAAACAUAAGAAUAUAACUUUGUUUGAGUGCUGGUUGUAUCUCUCUGAUUAGCGUAAUGUGACAUGUGACCUCAGUAGACAUACGUGUGUGAGCAUCAUGUUACUGUUGAGGCGCUAGUUUGAACUGGGGGUUGCAGAGACAAGUCGACUUCUCUCCUGUUAGUCACUGAUCACGUGACAAUAACAACACGAAUGCCUCCUAAAAGACAGAUGAGGAGACCAGUGGGUCUUUGCAGCAAACUAUAAGUGGUUCAUAGAGCGUAAGGGUUAUACUUCACCGAGGAUGGAGCCCAUUCUACCGUGACAUGUCAUGUUAUGUGGCAUCCAAAUCGAUCCAAAUCCUCUGUACAGCAGUCAAUUAACAACUUCACUAAACACCCACUGGUAAAAGAGAAGGAGGUUAGACGUUUAGGUGGAGCUUUGAGUUGUUCCUAAAGUCUGUGUCAGGCUGCAUCCUGCUGGCUGCUGCCAUCGAGGAGUGUCAUAGCUAUGCGGUGGGUGGUGGGUGAUACAUGUCAGAGUGACAUCCACAAGAAUGAAUGGCAGGUGUAAAGAUCAUUGAAAUGUCACAAAAUGGUCACACGGUGGAUGUUAUUUAGUCACUAAUCUGUAACAAAGUAUAAAACAGUUUGUUUUAAUACCUGAACAUGGCUGUGCAAAGACAGAAUUGCAAACAAUGAAGUCCCAACGUCCUCAAACGAGUACUUGCUAAUUGGUGGAUUUGUUCAAUUUGCGCGUCAUAUCUAAGUAGAAACGUUAACAAGCAUAAAUAAAUAAGCUUUAACCUUAAACCACCUAUAGAUGACAGACUAAACCAGAUUUAAAUGAAGCGGAAUGAGUUGCGAUGAAAACUAAAACGUCCCCAUAUGAGGACGCAGGGUCUCAGGAGGUUAAUGUUAAUGUGGCUGGUCGGUGUUGUUGAGUUGAGCUGAAGGCCGCCCCCUCUGGCUUCGUGCAUCAUGGUCGAGUGUGUCUCCCAGCCAGGAGGCAGCUGAUUAAGUGCACCAGGUGGAGACAAUCUGGAAAUCAGGAUGGUUUGGAGGCACUCACUCACAGGGCACUGAGGAGCGAGGAGUGUGUGAAGGAACUGGUGCUUGGGAAAAGGAGACUGCAGGAUUAAAACUUGCAAAGAUAGAAGAAGGAGCCGGAACCCGACGAGACGUUCAUGUAUCACAGCAGCUGCAGCUGAGGAGCUACUGCAGUUCAGACUCAGCUGCUUUUCUUGUGACUCAGCAGACAAAGCUUUUCAGUCCCUUCUGCAUGGCUCAAUCAGAUAAAGGGACUGGUGUUGGGCCGCGUGCGUGCAUGGAGUUUGAUUGGCUGCAGGAGGCUGCAACGUCUCCACGCGGGAAACCUGGCUGAGGUCAGAGUUUUCCUCACUUGGAUAAAACGUGCCCGGGGUUCUUCUCUGCGAAACGCCUGGUGGGUCAUUGUCCAAGUGGACAGAUGUUGAAAAACACCGUGACAUUGGCGUGUGUGUAGUGCUGCCAGCACACACACACUUGGAGGACAGACGUGCCAAGCAGGUUGCCAGAUCCACCAACCAUCUGAGGAAUGUUUCCUCUAAUAAUGUGUAGUUUGUCUGUGCUGCAUAUCUGGGCUGAUCCCUCAAGUCAGUGUAAUAUUACAUUUUAGAAAACACACACAGCUAUGAGUCCAUCUCUGACCACUGGAGAGAGAAAGCGAGAACACUAAUAUAAAAACAGCACAACAUUAGCCCUCGGACAAUAUUGCACAUCUUUCAUGUGCAGAGGAAAUUCGUUAUCAUGAAGAAGCUGUUGAAAAAUGUAUUACUAUGCUUAACUUUAAAGCUGCUUUAAUGUAUUUUAUAGAUGUUUAUAGUAUAAUAGCUUUGGGUCAAA